AAGAGACCCAGCUGAGAUGCUGUUAGUCCAUAGGAGAGCAGGUCUUAGGAAAGCAUUGGAUAAAAGCACUUAAAACAAGUUUCCUCUCCAGGCCCAGCCAGCGGAGCAGAUCUUCCUCUCCCCCCUCUACCAGCUGAUAGAAGAUGUGGAAGUUUCUCUCUCCGUGAUUCUGGUGCACCACGCGGGACUUUUCCAACAGAUAGCUCAGAAUGUGACCGCCUACUGCACCGCCCUGAGGGAGAAAGGAAGAAGAAAAGUCAGAGGAUCAACAAAGUCAUGAGGGUCCACCCUCUGGGAACCAUGAACAUCUGUUCAAAAUGUAUCCAUCUGUUUCUUGCUGUAGAUAUCCAAGUCUUUGUACGGGUUGACGGAUACCAAAAGAGUCCCAAUGUAAGUCUGCAGAGAAAGACAAGGACAGGAAGUCAUGUUCUGCAGCUCUUGCACAUUUGAUGAUCCAGGAGAUUGUUUGUCUCAAACAUUACUUCACAUUAAAGUAAUGCUCCCAGCGCUGCAGGUUUCAUGUACCACUUUGCUGAUCAGUAAUUUUGUUCCUCUUAUCAAAAGCAAUAAGUUAGAUGAUAUCUUUGUAAGACCUUACGGACAGUGGUAACCUUUAAAUUGCUCACACUGCAAUUUAGAAGAACAGGAGCUGCUGUUUCAGCAACACGAGGUGCCAGAUUCAGCAGAAGGCAACACAACCAUAGGACCUUUAAGGGUCAAAGGUGGAGGACUUGAGGUUUAAUUAGAGGGAGACGGAGAGAUAGUAUGUCAAACAUUUUGUCACAGAGGAAGGCUCACGUAAAUGAGGUUCUCAUGGAAGCGUUUCCUCAGGUUGUCCAGGAAGGCACUCUCACUCGUGUGGGGGUCGAGGAGAACAAAAUCCUGGAUGCCCACGCGAUCCCGGGCCGUCAGGGAGGCCUCCAUGUUCCUCAGGAUUUUGUCACAGCGCUCAUCCAGGCUCUGGGACCAAACAGAAAGACAUAGCAACAGAACAACCCUUGUUUAUGCAC